UGACCUGUCUCAGGGGUUGCACCUUUGGAAGUGUUGUGAUUCGCCUUGUCUUAGCAUUAGUUUGGAGUAAAGACUGAAUUGUUAAGGUUAAAUGAUGAAUUCCUUUAGAAACAGUGGAACCGGCUGUGCGGCCCCUGAGGGUGGGUCCUGCAGCUCCUCACCAGGCUGGCUGUCUGCGGCUCUCAGAAGCUGCUUCCUGGCAUCCAGGAGUUAGAGACCUUUUCAUCCUUUCUCAGUGCUAGUUCUUGAUGCUUCUUUAAUGGGAAUAGUGAACUUGUUUAUAAGCCGAUUUGCUCAAACCAGGGGUGUGGGCUGCUCCUGGGGGGGUCCUGCAAUCACUCUGUCCUCACAGCAAGGAUGUAACCACUACUAAACAGUUUUUACUUUCUUUUAUUCCCAUUAAAGCUGAUGUGAAAUAGUAACGAGGCCUAUCAUUGUAGCCACGCAUGAAGUAUUUGGGUCUGCUUUCCUGCUCUCUCUCUUUAGACACAUUUUCAGCCUUGAGUCCAGCAAGGAGAGCUUUUCUGCCUAAGUGUGAAGUGGAAGGUCUGAAGGGGUGAAAUGGGAGCAGAAAGUGUGUGGAGUGGAGUGGAGUGUGGUGCAGUGACUGUGGCAACUGGUUCUCAGCAGGACACUCACCGAGACCCUGGGCGUGUCCAGGCGUGUCCCCACUGGAAGCUUUGAUUUGAAUUACAUGAAUUUCUUGGGCUCUAUUACAAAUUACCACUCUGGGUUAGUGACAUGUUUAUAGUUCAGGUAUUGAUGUUUGAUUGACAGUGGUAUGGAAAUGCUUGUAAAUAGCAGACAGGAUUAUUCUCCACCUGACAAUGAAAAUUAAAGUGCUAACAUUGGAUCACUUCAGGAAGUCAGCAGUGCCACCCCAAGGGUUACCCACUGCAGUGUCAAAGGUCAGCACUUCAGGCAGGAGCAGAGGAGUAUUUAGUUAAUAUGGCCACAUUGAGGAAAGGGGCAAAGAGAUCCAGCAAACUCCCAGUAUUUCUUUCCUAAAGGCCUGUCUUCACAAUAGGCACACCUAUUUUUUGUCUGUCUGUUUGGUUGAUUAGUUUUGAGACAGGGUUUCUCUGUGUAGCCCUGGCUAUCCUGGAACUAACUCACUUUGUAGACCAGGCUGGCCUUGAACUCAGAAAUCUGCCUGCCUCCAGAGUGCUGGGAUUAAAGGCAUACCCAGCCCUAGAUGCACCUCUUAUUUUUAAAAUACUUGAAGACUAUUACAAUGUUAUAUAUCAUUACUUAGACCAUAGAGAAGUUUCUAAAAACCACUUAAUUUUUAUGUAGAUUGGGUGCUGGGUUGCAGUAUUCAAAUUUAAAUCCAUGUGACUACCUUUUGCUUUUAUUGCUGAUUUUUAGUCCCCCAAAUGGUACAGGCAACCAAGUGGGACUGGGUGAAUAGUACAUGAAAAAGUAGUAUCUAGAAUUGAGGUCUGCUAACCUAGGUUACACAGUUACUUGGAGCACAUAAUUAGCCAGCUACAGCUUGGUUCUCUGGGUUUGCUCCCGGGAUUGUCAACAUUAUUUUUAAACUUGUAAAGAUUUGUAAGGUGUAGAUUCUCAACAAGGUAUGAAUCAAGUUUGGGGUCUGCAGCAAGCUUCAAGUCUGUCCCAGUGUACUCUGAAGUCUGCAAGCCAGUAUCUGUAGUCCAGAAUGCUUUCCUCACUGAUUAAGAAUGUAGAGCCAGCUGAUGAAGUUCAGAAGUUACGGGUGUUGAGCAUGGAGUGUUGAAAUGCAGACACUAGCUCUUUUACCAGACAAGAGUGCGCCUGCCACUGGUAGGCUCGUGCAUUACAGACUGUAAUCAUGACGGUUACUGAUUAGUUGCUACACACAUACUUGAUGAUUUACUGUGUAUGUUUACAGUAUUUAUAAACUUUGUAUGAUCUUAAACUUUUUACAAAACAUUUUUAUAAGUAUGCAAGCUUGCAAGAUGAAAAUAAACCUAUCCGCCUAUUAGUUGGUAAAUAUAGCAUUUAUCUCAGUUAGUGACUGUUUUCCACUCCCUUCAGAUAUUUUCAUGGUAGUCGUGUAAGCUCUCACAUGAGGUCCUGUCACUGUGCUGUAGUACUAUUGUACAUACACUGUAUAAUAGUGCCUUUGCCCAGUCACAGAAAGUGUGAGAUGCCUGGCUCACCACUGUCAGGAGCACAGUUUGAGAAGUCUUCCAUGGUAGUUGUGCAGCUGAUAAGCACUGAGCCAGGAGGAUUCCCUAAACAGAACUAAUACAAACAUCCUCUACCUUUGGUUUAUUUUCAAGACAGGGUUCUCUGUGUAUCCCUGGCCAUCCUGGAACUUGCUCUGUAGAUCAGGGUGGGCUCGACCUGGAAUACAAACUUAAAAUCUUAAUUGUUAAUCUUAAAACUGCAAUGUGAUAAUAAAUACAAGUAUUUAAAAAUCU
rnacentral:lncRNA from 1 species